rnacentral:rRNA from 1 species
UGAGAUGGCCUCGCGUCCGAUUAGCUAGUUGGUGAGGUAAUGGCCCACCAAGGCAACGAUCGGUAGCCGGACUGAGAGGUUGAACGGCCACAUUGGGACUGAGACACGGCCCAGACUCCUACGGGAGGCAGCAGUGGGGAAUAUUGCACAAUGGGGGAAACCCUGAUGCAGCGACGCCGCGUGGAGGAAGAAGGUCUUCGGAUUGUAAACUCCUGUUGUUGAGGAAGAUAAUGACGGUACUCAACAAGGAAGUGACGGCUAACUACGUGCCAGCAGCCGCGGUAAAACGUAGGUCACAAGCGUUGUCCGGAAUUACUGGGUGUAAAGGGAGCGCAGGCGGGAAGACAAGUUGGAAGUGAAAUCUAUGGGCUCAACCCAUGAACUGCUUUCAAAACUGUUUUUCUUGAGUAGUGCAGAGGUAGGCGGAAUUCCCGGUGUAGCGGUGGAAUGCGUAGAUAUCGGGAGGAACACCAGUGGCGAAGGCGGCCUACUGGGCACCAACUGACGCUGAGGCUCGAAAGUGUGGGUAGCAAACAGGAUUAGAUACCCUGGUAGUCCACACCGUAAACGAUGAUUACUAGGUGUUGGAGGAUUGACCCCUUC